rnacentral:rRNA from 1 species
AGAGUUUGAUCCUGGCUCAGGACGAACGUUGGCGGUGCGCUUAAUGCAUGCAAGUCGAGGGAGAAGCACUUGUUCCGUAAGGUUCAGAUGUGGAAACCGGCGAACGGGUGAGUAACACGUGAGAAACCUGCCCCUUAUAUCGGGAUAGCCCGAGGAAACUCGGAUUAAUACCGGAUACUCUCUUUGGACCACAUGAUCCGUUGAGGAAACAGUCCGCUGCUAGGGGAUGGUCUCGCGGCCUAUCAGGUAGUUGGUGAGGUAACGGCUCACCAAGCCUAAGACGGGUAGCUGGUCUGAGAGGACGAUCAGCCACACUGGAACUGAGACACGGUCCAGACUCCUACGGGAGGCAGCAGCAGGGAAUAUUGCACAAUGGGCGAAAGCCUGAUGCAGCGACACCGCGUGCGGGAUGACGGCCUUAGGGUUGUAAACCGCUUUCAGGAGGGAAGAAAAUGACGGUACCUCCAGAAGAAGCUCCGGCCAACUACGUGCCAGCAGCCGCGGUAAUACGUAGGGAGCAAACGUUGUCCGGAUUUAUUGGGCGUAAAGGGCUCGUAGGCGGUUCAACAAGUCGAUCGUGAAAGCCCGGGGCUCAACCCCGGGAGGCCGGUCGAAACUGUUGUGACUAGAGUUCGGUAGAGGUGAGUGGAAUUCUCGGUGUAGCGGUGGAAUGCGCAGAUAUCGAGAGGAACACCAUUAGCGAAGGCGGCUCACUGGGCCGAUACUGACGCUGAGGAGCGAAAGCGUGGGGAGCAAACAGGAUUAGAAACCCUGGUAGUCCACGCCGUAAACGAUGAACACUAGGUGUGGCGGACUGAUUCAUGUCUGCUGUGCCGUAGCUAACGCAUUAAGUGUUCCGCCUGGGGAGUACGGCCGCAAGGCUAAAACUCAAAGGAAUUGACGGGGCCC